CUAUGCGCCUUGCCAGCCCGCUCAGGUGUGCCAGCAGCCGCGGUAAUACGUAGGGGGCAAGCGUUAUCCGGAUUUACUGGGUGUAAAGGGAGCGUAGACGGCUUGGCAAGCCAGAUGUGAAAGGCUGGGGCUCAACCCCAGGACUGCAUUUGGAACUGUCAUGCUAGAGUGUCGGAGAGGCAGGCGGAAUUCCUAGUGUAGCGGUGAAAUGCGUAGAUAUUAGGAGGAACACCAGUGGCGAAGGCGGCCUGCUGGACGAUGACUGACGUUGAGGCUCGAAAGCGUGGGGAGCAAACAGG
rnacentral:rRNA from 1 species